AGAUAACUGUUUGCUGGGUACGGCGGAGCACCUCUGUGUUUGGAAAGGUGCCAGCAGAGGCUGAGGGGCGGGAGGUGCAGUUCCUUCAUGGAGGAGCUAUAGGGAUAUGUAUAGAACACCAUGUGCGAAGAAACACGAAAGGCACAGAAGAUUAGAAAGAUACUCUUUUUCCACAAGAAAUUUACCAAGUGAUGGCGAAAAUCCAACAGGGUGGUCACAGGUGUGCUCAGAGAAGCUGAGUUAAGUUGUGGAGGGGACAUAAGAUUUCUUCUCAUAUUCAAUCAACUCUCAAAUACAGAAAGCUGACC